UCAUGGUCAGUUGUAUGUUGCUUUAUUGAGGGUGAAAUUUAGGCAUGGGUUGAGGAUAUUGAUACAUAAUGAUGAUAAUACAUCAUCCAACAUGUCUCAAAAUGUUGUCUUCCAGGAAGUUUUUGACAAUAUCCCUAUGAUGUAGUUGACAUGCACCAUCGUGAGCAGAGGAUUACAUUGUGGUGCGAGAGAUUCAAUAUUGUGCUAAUCGGACGCCAAGGAUGAUAGAAUGAAUUGCAGGCUGUAUCGUCAUUUUUUUCCCAUUACUGUUGCUUUAGGUUUCUAUCAAAUUAAUGACGUUCAAUUUCUCGUGUUAUUUUUUCUCAGUGAAGGAGAUAUCUGUAACUUGUGUCAGUUAAUACUAUUGGAUUAUUUAUUCUAAAUUUUUUUCCCACUAUCAUUAGUGGCUAUUUUGUGGUCAAUGUAUUAACACCAUAGUGUGCGUGUAUUGGCUCUUUAUGCAGUUAAAAUCUACCACCUCA